GCAUAUCAAUAAGCGGAGGAAAAGAAACCAACAGGGAUUGCCCUAGUAACGGCGAGUGAAGCGGCAACAGCUCAAAUUUGAAAGCUAGCCUUCGGGUUCGCAUUGUAAUUUGUAGAGGAUGAUUUGGGGAAGCCGCCUGUCUAAGUUCCUUGGAACAGGACGUCAUAGAGGGUGAGAAUCCCGUAUGUGACAGGAAAUGGCACCCUAUGUAAAUCUCCUUCGACGAGUCGAGUUGUUUGGGAAUGCAGCUCUAAAUGGGAGGUAAAUUUCUUCUAAAGCUAAAUAUUGGCGAGAGACCGAUAGCGCACAAGUAGAGUGAUCGAAAGAUGAAAAGCACUUUGGAAAGAGAGUUAAAAAGCACGUGAAAUUGUUGAAAGGGAAGCGCUUGCAAUCAGACUUGUUUAAACUGUUCGGCCGGUCUUCUGACCGGUUUACUCAGUUUGGACAGGCCAGCAUCAGUUUCGGCGGUCGGAUAAAGGCUCUGGGAAUGUGGCCUCCACUUCGGUGGAGGUGUUAUAGCCCAGGGUGUAAUACGGCCAGCCGGGACUGAGGUCCGCGCUUCGGCUAGGAUGCUGGCGUAAUGGUUGUAAGCGACCCGUCUUGAAACACGGACC
rnacentral:rRNA from 1 species